rnacentral:rRNA from 1 species
UGUAAAGUCUAAAACGACUCUCGGCAACGGAUAUCUUGCUCUCGCAUCGAUGAAGAACGUAGCGAAAUGCGAUACUUGGUGUGAAUUGCAAGAUCCCGUGAACCAUCGAGUCUUUGAACGCAAGUUGCGCCCCAAGCCUUCUGGCCGAGGGCACGUCUGCCUGGGUGUCACAA